rnacentral:rRNA from 1 species
AGCGAACGUUUGCGGCGGGCCUAACACAUGCAAGUCGAACGGGCUAGCAAUAGUCAGUGGCGCACGGGUGCGUAACACGUGGGUAAUCAACCCUUCAGCUCGGGAUAACGCCUUGAAAGGGGCGCUAAUACCGGAUACGACGCGAGGAGCUUCGGCUGCUUGCGGGAAAGAUUCGCAAGGAUCUCUGAAGGACGAGCCUGCGGCCCAUCAGCUAGUUGGUGAGGUAAGAGCUCACCAAGGCGAAGACGGGUAGCUGGUCUGAGAGGAUGAUCAGCCACACUGGAACUGAGACACGGUCCUGACUCCUACGGGAGGCAGCAGUGGGGAAUAUUGCGCAAUGGGCGCAAGCCUGACCGAGCAACGCCGCGUGCGGGAUGAAGGCUCUUGGGUUGUAAACCGCUGUCAGGGGGGAUGAAAGCGCAAGCUUGACAGAGCCCCAGAGGAAGCACGGGCUAAGUUCGUGCCAGCAGCCGCGGUAAAG